rnacentral:misc_RNA from 1 species
UGCAGAGCACAACCCCUGGCAACACACUCACUGGCAUUCAUGGUACGCCUAGGCUCCUUUCCAAAGAAUUCAGUCAAGAUCUUGAUUAUAGCAGGUACGCGAGAGCCAGAUCCAACCACCUCAACCAUGUGAACAUUAUCAACUGUCAGCUUAGCAUCUUGAAGUGCCUUCUCCAAAGGCCUUUUAACACGUUCCAAAAUUGGAACACAAAUCUGCUCAAACUCAUCUCUCUUAAUGAAGCCUCUAACAUCCUUCUCAUCCAUUAAGCAUUCAAUAUUCAGAGGAGCCUCAGGGUUGGCACUAAGAACCUUCUUUAGCUUCUCACAAGCAGCUCUAAGCCUAAGACAAGCCCUUGCAUUCUGGAAAACAUCAAUCUUAUACUCUUCCUUGAACUUAGCAGCAAAGUGAUGAAACAGAACCUCAUCAAAAUCUCUACCACCCAGAGUCCGAUCGUAAGAAUGAGCCAAAAUCCUGAGUUGGCCUUUUUUGAAUCCAGCAAUGCACACUUGCAUACUUGCAUCUCCAAUGUCAACAAAAGCAACAUUCAAUUGAUCAUUCUCAGGCAGAUCAGUCUUAUAAAUACCAUAUGCCAAUGCUGUAGCUGUGGUUUCAUGAAUCAAACGAAGAGGAUGCAGUCCUGCAAUGGUGGCUGCAUCCAAAACAGCCCUUCUUUGGAGGUCAGUGAAAUAAGCUGGAAUUCCAAUGCAGCAAUCCACCACUGCUGCAUUUAGAUUCUUCUCAGCUAUGCAUUUCAAAUUUGACAACACCAUGCCCAAAACUUGCGUUGGCGUAAAUGUCUUCACUUCACCUAAGUACCGUGCAUGAAUCAAAGGGAACCCAUCAGGACCUUCAGUUACAGCAAAGGGAAAUGACUUGAGAUCCUUUUGCAACUCAGGAUCAGAGAAUUGGCGGCCUAUUAGCCGCUUAAUCUGAGAUAUAGAGUUUUUGGGGUUCAUCAUAGUUGAGGCAGCUCCUGCAGUACCAAUGAAUCGCUGUUUGUCACCGAAGCACACAAUAGCAGGAGUUUCUCGCUUCGAUUCAUCAUUAAGCACAACAUCAAUCCCUCUUUGCCGUGCAACAGCUACAACGCUGUUCUCAUUGCCAAAAUCAAAUCCAACAACACUCAUUUUUUUUAUAAAAUUUACUAAUUUAUGGGGUAAAUCGGUGUAGCCGUCACAAAUUUAUGUUGUAAGGUAACCUGAAAAGCCGAACCAAUCUAGUAGUAGAAUCAAACAAUCAGAGACACAAAAUCCCCGUUA